GAAUAUAAAUUUCUGAAGUGGCUUAUGUCAGGAUGAGCUAGAAACUUGAUAUAUUAUUAUUCAUGGGCCGUUUCACAUUUCACCAGUCAAGAAAUCAGGUUACACGGUGUUCUAUUGUGGUACAGGGAUAUUUAUUGCUCAGAUCCCCUACAGGUUUAUGCCGGCGCUACAAGAUUCUCUAUUCCUUUCUCUUUUUAGUACGCAGCCUUUCUAAGUAUAGUGUUAAGUGGCCAUGGGAUCUUCCCCGUGCACGUACAGCGUAGUCGCGCAAAAGAAGGCAAAAAGGGACAAAGAGAACGAGGAAGGGGGAGGAAAAGGAAAAAGAAAUAAGUGAAAACAUGAGACCACUUUAUUUGGUUGGCCUAUAAAUAGCCUGCUGAAUGGCAGCGAGGCAACCCGGGUGCAUUGCAGGAUGAGCAAUCAAUAAGCAGAAAGAUGGAUGGAGGCUCUCUUAACACUCUCCGAGCCCACAGACGACAGCUGAGGGGACUAUUUUUUCCUAUGGCUUACCGAAUAUGGAAAGGGAGGAGAGAGACUCUGCGAGCGACUAACGCGUGUUUCAGAUGCUUAGCUGGCUAUAAAGCUGGAGGGGUCUCUCUUCCCGUGCCGGGAUUGCAGGUCAUGUCAGCCCAGGCUCGCCAGGUCGUCCGCUCUCUCGCUCGCCGGGGCCCCGUGCGGGGAGCCCCCCCCUCCUCCGGCGGUGACCUCCCCAAACACACGAGACCCUCGUAGAGCGAAGGAGCCGCCAGAGGUAUCCGUCUCCAUCACGGGAAUCCCACGCUGCCUCCUCCAUUGCUGGCAAAGCUGCUCUCCCCGGCCGGAAUGCACAUCUUCCCUAAACAGAGCUUUCGCGCAAAAGCAGGUAACAGGGAGAAGAGGAUGAGAUGCAACAUGGAUUGGCAGGAAAAUCAGGAAGAAUCAAAUUUGAUUUUGAUAUUUUUUUUUUUUUUUUUUUACCUAAUCGAGUAGAUUUGAAACUCAGCUUUCUACACCCCACUAUUCAACUGAAAAUAAAACAAAAAGAAAUUAAAUGGGAAAAAAAAUAAUAAAAAAAUGAAGAGAAGAAAACAAACAAACUUCUUUUUCCGUCUCUGGCUCCCCCAGCCUGCAAAAGGGUUUUGAAUUAGCUGUGUGUCAGUGAUCACGCAGGUCAGGGUCGUUCGUCUCCUUUAACAGGUCAUCGGGUCAUUUUGCUCGCAAAGUGAAAAAUGCACUGCACAUUUUUUUUCUUUAUUAUUUUUUACUGCUCGACCCUUUGCCUCUCCGUCAGUUCCAGCAGUUUGUGCGACUUUCCGUGCAGCUUCACCGACGCAGGCCGGCUGCCGGCUGCUGCAUUGCCUGCAUUUUUAUUUUUAAUUUUUUUUUCUUCCUGGAGUGCACCAUUUCCCAUCUCCUUUAUUUCCUCUGGAACUUCCCUCCCUAAAGGUGAAGAAGCUGCAAGUCUGCAUCUCCCCAGCACCUACCCCCCCCCACCCCGCAUCCCCUCACUCACACACACACGCAGGCACACACACACACACACACACACGCUCGCGCGAGCGGCUCCUCGCUCACCCCCGCCGUCAUCUGGAGGAGAGCUGAUUCAGCGAAUCGAACAUGCAGCACGGGCACGAUGGCUGCUGCAGCUGGAACAUGCUGUAGGUCACCGCUACUCCCUCUGAAGCGGCAAGGAGGAGACGAGGGGAGCCGCGCGUGGAUGGUAGCGGGAACAGGGAGGAGGCUGCAAAACCCUUGAACGGUGUGCCGAGAGACAGGCGCAGAGAGGAGGAGGAGAGAGACCGAGGAGGAAGGAGGCGUCUAUCCUGCUCCGGGUCGGGGAGUGGGAUGGAGGUAGCCUGUCCCAGCUAUCACAGUGGUGGAGGACGUCCCAGACAGGAUGCCAGUCCAUGUCAGUGCACAAGCACACAAUCAAAUCAUAUGGGUAAUUUAGCGAUGCAAAUUAGCCUAAAUAUGUGUCCUUUAACAGCAGGAGAUAACAAUGACACUAACGUCACACUCCCAGAGCAGGAGCAAUCUAGCCUUGGAGGUAUAAGGCAAAGGUGCUACCCUUGGAUAUACCACAACCACUGCUAUAUCAUAAGUGUAAUUUUAGGCUCAUUCUACCGAUGUUGCUAUGCUGACGUUAACAGCCAUCUUAAAUAGAUGCUCCCCAGGUUACGAUGAUACGCGUUACGAUAUUUCGGCUUUACGACAGGCAAAUGUUUUUCACUUUCAAUAUAUUACACAAUAAAUUACAUGAGAUAUUCAAAACUUUAUUAUAAAGUAGGUUUUGUGUUAAUGAUUUUGCCUAACUGUAGGUUAAUGUAUGUGUUCCAAGCAUGAUUAGGGUAGGCUAGGCCAGGCUGUGAUGUUGGUUAGGUUAGCUGUACUACCAUAAAAUGCAUUUUUGUCUUCCGAUAUUUUCGCCUUUCGAUAGGUUUAUCAGGACGUAAACCCAUCGUAACCUGGGGAGAGGCUGUAGUUAUGAUCCAAUUAAUGGUAGCAUGUUACAGGAACAGUUCUGAAAUAAGCCUGGAACGUUUAUGCAUACAUACUGUACUGUGCAAAAGUCAUAGCCACCCAAAGAAAAUUUUAAAGCUAUUUAUCCGGGUACUAAGUGUAAUUUUACCAGGAAAGGGCAUAACUUAAAAUUUUAAUAUAUGCUAAUGGACAAGAACACAAUGAAAAAUAACCACGAUUUCUUCUGUUCUCCAGAAAGUUACUGAUAUCUUGCUGGAUAAUUUGAAGAACACCGCUUCAGUUCCCAAACUUCUCCUCAGGGGCAACCCAGCCAUUUCAUGCAUUUGUUAAAUUUCACUACCAGCUCACAUAAUUAAUUAACCUAAUUAGUUAAAUAACUUGCAAUAUCGAUUAGCCAAAAAUGGUGCAGUAGUGCUCGACUUAUCAAAUACAUGGACGUUGCAGCAAAUACUGGGGUGACUUACACAUAAUUUUCUUUGGCAGCCUAAGACUUUUGUACAAAACUCUACAUUCUUUCACACAGGAUUUCUAGAUAGAAGCCAGUUAAGAUAAAUAACACAAACAGAAAGGGAAAAAUUAUGUGCAACUGGACACUGUACUCCCCCCCCCCCCCCGCAAAACAAAAAAAAAACUAUGAUGCUGUGUAAGGGUGGAACAGUUCUUAAUAUAAAAAUUAGAACCAGAGCUGAUGCUCACUCAAGGUCAUAAAGUCAAUUUCAGUUGGAUUAAAGGCAUAAAACACAGCAGACAUAUCACUGAGAUCAGCUUCCUCGAGGGAUGGAUUGAUGAAGGAAUGUGGGGGACCUGGGCUAAACCUGUAUGAACGCUGAGCACACACACAGCUGGAGACUCAAACAAACAACCAUCAGCAAACAUAUCACUGAGAUCAGCUUCCUCGGGGGAUGGAUUGAUGAAGGAGCCCAGAGGAACGGUGCGAAACCUGUAUGAGUGCUGAGCGCACACACAGCUGGGAACUCAAACAAACAACCAUCAGCAGACAUAUCACUGAAAUCAGCUUUCUCAGGGAAUGGAUUGAUGAAGGAGCCCAGAGGAACUGUGUGAAAACUGCAUGAGUGCUGAACACACCCACAACUUGGGACUCGAACACUCAAUCAUUGAGGCAAAGGGCGAAGACACCAGAGUGUCAUCAUGUCAGAGUCAGAAAUAAGCUUCUUCUUCAGAUGUGCUGUAAUUUUGGUUAUUUUCUGUGGUUUGUGCAGUCGUCAAUUAGUCUUACAUUUAAAUAUAUCAGGAAAUUUAAUAAAAUAUAGAAAACAGGCACAAAAUGUUCUGAGGAUGGCAAAGCAAUUCUGUGCAGUGCAGAAAAUAUCAUUAAGGCAGGAAGAACGUACAACAAGAAAUAUUUCGGCUGAAAGGAUAGUCUGACACAGCUUUGAAUCCUCUUAUUCAUCAUAAUUUUAUGCCUCGUGAAAUAAAAAUCAAACGUUAAAAAUAUAAUAAAAUAUUUUAUUGCACUUCAUUCAAUUUUACUUAUUAAAUAUUAAUCCAUUAGUAUUAAAAUUAUAGCUUAAAAGACCUAUCUAGGAUUCUCAUUACUGUAAAUGACAUAUACAAGAUUAAAAAACCACAAGAAAGACUGUUGAACGAAACGGCAAUGAAAAGUUUAUUUUGUCAUAAUUAUGUGUUUCUAUUAAAUCCACUUCAAUUCCAUUUAUUUCAUAUAGCUUUUCUCUCCACUGCAGCUUCGACUAAUCUCAACAAAUCAAAAUUAAAUCAAAUACUGAUGUAUAAUAUUUAAUAUGAUAUAUUUAAUACAGCACAUUCCUACAAGCAAGUACUUUUCAGUACUUCGUUUUUUUAAAGAGUACAAUACUGAACAGGAAAAAUACACUUAAAAAUAUUUUCACGAAAGGUGUUUCUACAGGGCUUGAUGCAGUGGAAGAUACUGGAAAAUUAGGAACUGCCAGCAUGAAAUGUAACAGUGCACUUUAAUCUGCAGGAAACAAUCCAUGAUGAGCAACACAUUUUCCAUCAGGCUAAGCAGGCUCAGUGAGAAGCAGCAGUUUAGCUUGUAAACCAGGGUUGUGUUCAGGGGCGGGGCCACAGGAUCAUUGGCACCAGCUGAAGGCCGAUUGGCUACUAAAGUGCCACCUCCCCUGUCACUCACUGAAUCAAAACAUAUAAUUGGCUAAUGACACGGUUGUCCUCCCUUAAAAAUGUAAAUUACGACCUAUCUUAUGCCCCACACAUUAAAAAUCCUAGAGUCACCCCUGUGGCAAACCCAUUUAAGAAGUAUAAUAGGCCGAGGAUGCCCCAAGACAGGGCAAGGGCGGGUGAUGAACUUAUCCAUUCACUCCUGCACCUUAUUACAGCAACUAUAAAACUGACUUCCAUUUUUCCCUUCGUCCCAGAACACAUACUAAACCUUGAUGCCCUUUCAGAUAUUGCCCUUUCACCCAUUUUAUUUUCCUCUGUGUUUCUGCCAAGUAUUUUGCUGUCAUUCUUCGCCAUUUUGUUAAAGCCUACUCCCCUCCUGGAGCAAAACAAAUCCUCCAGGUUCAGUAUCACGUGAUUUUGUUCAGCACCCGACUCAGUGUGUAUCAGGACACAAUUUAAUUUCUGAACGAAUAACAUCACAACUGAGGGCAGUCCUGCUGUACUAAUGUCUGAAACGGUGCUUCCCUGUUGACCAUUACGUUAUGGUGAAAUGCCCAAUUUAGCCAGCGUGGAACAGAUAAAGGUGCGUCUAGAUGCUGGUGUGAGAUAUAAUACCAUAAACACAGAUGUUUCUCAAAUGGAUUUCAGUAGAUUCAAGAUUUGCAUGAAUAUUUGCAGUGAGCGUUUUUAUUUUGUGUGCUUAAGUGGCAAGAAAUAUAUGACAGCACCCCCCCAAUACUGCCCUUGAAAAUAAUAUGCAGUCGCCGCUGGUGAAAGUACGAGGAAGAGUAACAAUAACCAAGAAAAACUGAAAUAGAGCAAUUAAGCAAUAAGCCAUAAUGUGUUUCUACCUCAAAGCACCCUCGAUGGCCUGGUGAUGACCUAACCCUCAGUACAUGCAUGUUCCCUUAUGCUCUGUGUGUUCAGAGAUGUACAGUGGGUAAGCCCAAUGGCAAUUCCAUUUUCACUUAUGUGGAUCAGCAGGUUAGGACACUUCUCAGGUCAGCAAAUCUAGGGGUCAGCAGAAGGAUUACACCAUUCGGCCUCUGAGCAAGGUCUUUAACCCCCAAUUGCUCCAAUUCUAACCUCCCUUUGGAUAAAAAUGUUUGCUAAAUAAAUUGUUUAAAAAUAAACACAAAGAUCCAGGGUACACAAAGUUUGCUUAAGGAACACGAUUAUCCGCCUAGCUGCUGCUGACUUUUCCACAUCCUUACCAGCUGUAUCUGCUGUCAAGUCAGGCCCGUAAUCCUGCUCCCACAGUUCUUGUUGGGACUAAGUGUUCUAACAUUGAACGAGAUGGGCAACAACUAACAAGCUCCCCUUCUGUGAUAUAUGACUCUAACAAAUCAUCGUAUACCAAAAGCUCAAGUACACCCAAACACACACACACACACACACACACACACACACACACAGAACCUGCCAUUGCAUGCUUCUGCCUUCUAAGUUCAAGUCAAUAUCACACAAGUUAAACACCAAGAAGUCUGUACAUAGCCCUCAGGAUAAGAAUACUCUCUUCCUAAAAGUAGUAACAAUACAGAACAGACAGGGAACAUUAGCAACAUACAUUACCCUGAGUACCUUGUAACUUGGUUCUACAUGACAGCGCCAUCCUCUGGUCCCCUGAGCGAUUGUUCAUGUUCUCUUGAGUUACGUCUGAGCUGUUAGGACAGGGGUGGGCAAUCUUAUCCGCAAAGGGCCAGUGUGUAUACAGGUUUUAGGGAUAACCUUUAGGUCAGCUGUUAAAAUCCAGAAGUAAGAACUCUUCAUCCAAUCAGUCUUCAAAUUAGUAAUCUAAUUAGGGAAUUGCAGUGAAGACCUGCAUACACACCGGCCCUUUACGGAUAAGAUUGCCCACCCCUGUCUUAGGAGGUUAGGAAGCCCCUGCGUUUGUUGCCUGUGCAUGAAAAAGCCUCCAUUUGCUGAUGUGAUGUGUCCCCAGGGGUUAGGGCUUAGGUGAGCCAGUAAACCGGUGAAUGCGAGCAGUUUUACGGGAGUCGCUAAUGAACACUCACAGUUACAUGCCAGUUACGUGGCCAAGAAGUGCCCGACUUUGGAGGAUGGGGAGUAUAAACUUAACACGCUGUGCUCAGUAUCUGCAGUGACGGCAUUACUUAAGCCUAAGCCUGAACGACACUCUGCUGCCUGAGGCUCUGCUCACUGCCGGACUCCUGCCCACCAAUUUCCACACACUCCUCCUCUCUACACUGCUGUGAAGGUGUGUGUACAACCAGCACAAGGUUUUUCCAUCCCCUUAAUGGCCUGCGAUGGCGCUGUUGUUCCUAUGUCACCUUUUCCUACAUUGUGUGCGGCUCUGCAGGUUGGGACUCCGUGCCCGUGAUCAGAAGGUGACAAUCCUAUGGCCAGCAGAGUGAAUUGAGUCCAGACCCUGUUGACCAAUGUGGUACCCUACACAAACACCACCAUCAGUGCCCUCCAUGCACCCAUGCCCCUCAUAGGGGUGGGGACUGCCAGUGAUUCUGCCCCAGAGGGGCAUGGCUUUUCUAAGUUGGCACCUCCUCAGAAGUGCCAACUUUCUAAGUUGGCACCCUUGGUUGACCCUUGACCCCAACUACUGUAAGGGUGCUGGAUGCUGGCUGACCCAAAUUUUGCACUCUCCUGUACAUAUGCAUGCGUGUGCCUCAUGGAGAGCAAGACGGGACAUGCGAAAGCUGCCCCAAUUCCCACCGGGAAUGAAUAAAGUAUCUCUCUUCUUUAUUCCCUCAAAGAUGAGCUUGUCUACAUCGUAAAGGAUCCUUUCAUCCACCUCAGCUCUUUCUGAUUCCUCUUUGUUGGUGUAAUAAAUGACAGGCCCCAGUUGUCAGUCGCUCUUCACUGUGACCCAAAACUCUGAUCUCUGGAAAAGGAGGAAAUCGUCUUCUGUGCCUGGCACAUUAACCUGAACAAUUAUGAGCGCUGCUGGGGUCACUGGAACCACACAGUUAAAAAACUCAUCGGGCACCAUGGCUUCUGAUUUAAAUGAUGGCUUCACAGUUUAAGAGAACGUAUCUGCUGUUUCGUUAUCAGCCCCAGGGACGCAUUCUACAACGAAAUGAAAUUCACAUAACAGGACAGCACACUGUGGCAGCUUCUACUUGCUAUCUUUGAGGUUAUGUUCAGUGGUCAGCCUGAGAGUCUUACAUCUUCACUGCCCAUAACCCUGUCAAAUGCUCCCUCCAUGUCUUGUGUUAUUUUCACGCUGUCUUGCUACAAGAAGAAGAAUGCGAGAAGCUUUUUCCUCCCUCAGGGCAUCCAUCCCCUCAUCAUCAAGCAUCUAUCUGGAGAACAUAUGUGUCCUUGAAGUGUAGGUAAUGGAGUGUCUGCUCUGGUGAGGGCCUUCUUCACUACGCAGAAACCUCCCUCUACUUCUUCUGUCCACUUCUAACAUGCCUCUUUCCAAAAACAGUCGACUCGGGGAUUCUCUGCGAAGGUGUACAUUUGUUAUGAAUGGGCCGUGCCAGUUUCUAGACCCAGAAACGACCGUAUUUCAUAUUCUUUGGUGCUGGAUCGGUUUUAAUCGCUUUUCUGGGCCUCAUUCAGUCCAUAAAAUUUAAUCUCUCCUUGGGAAAACAAAUAUUUGUCAACUCGACUAGUGAGACUGCCUUGCUUUACCCUUCAGGACUAGGCAUUGAUGGAACAGGAGUUCUAUGAAGAAGUCAAUGAUGUUGGAGCAUAUCAGUCAUAAAACGAUGAAUGGAUGAAGUACCCUUGAAGCUAAUUAAUACCACGAUAAAACUAUUUGGUUCCUUCAGUGUCACAAAUGAUGUAUUCUUGUCCCUGACUUGCUCCACCACUGUGAAGGGUUAAUAGGAACUGCAUCCUGCCAGAGCAGGUCUAAGGUUUUUCUGGAAAUUCAGGGGAUCCGUAACAAGAUGCGUGUGCUUGUAUUGUAAAAAUGCUGGUAAAAGCUGUCAAUAUUAAAUCAAGUUGACUUAUUUUCAGUGUAAAAAAAAAUCUGCCUGGGGGAAAAAUGCCAGGGAUCUUGUGCUGGGGGCCGAUGUUGUGAUAUGGGUGCUGUUAGCAGCACUAGCAAACUAGUGGAAAUUGUGUAACAGGAAGAGUGGGAGCAGAGUCACAGAGCAGGGGGAGGACAGUUCACUGACAAUGGGAGAGGAGGGUGUCUGUAAGCAGAGCUAACGAGGCUUUGAGUGACUCAGGUUAUAGGCGUUUGGCUAAACAAGCAGCGUCAUUUUGGAAGAUUCAACGCAGCAUGGAAUCUCUGGGUCCCAGGCAGGCAGGGGCUGAAGGGCCAGAAUUGUGUUCGUUAGGCUAAAAUCUUUUGAUCAUGUGGAAUCUGGUGGUUAGUGGAUGUCACAUUUGAAAAUAAUAAUUAGAACACUGUUGAAGUGUCUACUGUUUUGUAUGUUGGGUGGUAACACUCUGAAAGUCCUUUUCCUUAAUGUCACAACUUAGCAGUACUCGCUCAGUAGCCUCAAGAUUGAAGAAUAGCUCGGAAAUACUAAUGAGCCCACUUUAAAUUCUGUAUAGCGCAGCCAACUAAAUCACAAUGAAUCCAAAUGUAUGUUCGGACAAAACGAUACAAGUAGGUCAAGCUUUGUUUCAGCAACAUGUGAGAUAAAGCAUUAUUAUGGUCAGGGUCAUAUUGCACAAUGACCAUACUCUUCAUGAACAUUUUGUGCAGAAAGAGUUGAAGCAUAAUGACAGUUUGACAGUUAGGGUGACCUGGCCUCACUGACAUAUAUUGUCAUGCAGGUUGACGUUCUUCAAGAACAUCUUUCAACAUUUUUCAAUCUAAAAUACAGUUAAAGUUUGCAGUUGGGUUUUGCAGUUGUUCCCUUGAACUUUUCACCUGUAAUGUCAUAAAAUAAAAUAAAAAUAUUGGAUCUGGUACAGCUA